GGCGGCAGGGAGGAGUUUGCUGGGUCGGGGGGCAAGGCCAGCGGUUCCCCAGGAGCCGCAGUAUCUGGGACUUGCCCUCGCCGCUGUGAGGCCUGGAGGCCCGGCUCCGCGGCCGGACACCCCCGGCCAUCCCACUCGGGCCCAGAGGCCUGCGCAGAGCUGCCCAAGGGACCUGGCCAGACACCGAGGGAGCCACCAGGGAGGCUCGGUACCCUUUGUUGGUCGUGCCCAGGCUCGGCUCAGCCAGCUUCUUCCCUCUGACCCGGAGGAGCAACACCCUACCCACUCUCGGGCCUCCUGCUCGCUCCCGGGCUGCGCCUGGUAUGUGGCCCUGUUCCAGGGUCUGGGCCCUGUGGCCAGGGGCUGUCCCCCGAGCUCGGGGCAGAGCAAGAGGGGUUGUCCCAGGCCCUAGGGCUGCAGGAGCCUGCAUGCCUUACCCCAGGGAGGGGCUGGAGGCCCCAAGAGGUGAAGGGGCAGGCAGAGGGCCGAGUGCUGCAGCUGCCCCUGGAGCAACCUGGUCAGGGAGCCAGAGAAGGUAGGGAAGCCCCUGGUUCACGACGUGUAGCCUGAGCAGCCAGGACUGCAGAUCCAGGCGUUGUGGCCUCAGGGACAGACACUCGCUCCCCGGGCCCCAGACCGGGACUGGGCUGGGCACCAGGUUCCCAACGCCCCUGUGGAACUUAAAGAGGUGAUGGGAGAGAGGAGGGGACAUCUGAGGUGGCAGGUCAAGAAGAAAGGGGGCACAGAGGGCUCCAGGCGGGGCUCCGUGCGGGGUGUCAGGCCCUGCGGCUCCGUCUGAGGCAGGACCAUGACAGGUCCGGGGGCCUCCCCGGGGGACAGUGUGGGCAGAGGGGUGGGGGAGCAGGCAGUCCGCCCCAGGGCCCGAAAGCCCCCCCAGGGAUGCUGGGCACGUGGGAGCCCCUGACUCCCACCUCUAAAAGGGGUCCUGACCCCAUGACCCAGGGCCGCGAGAAGGGUCUGGUGGCACAAAGGACAGGGACCCUCACAGUUUCAGAAAGGCCGGGCGGCUGAGCGCCUUCCCAGGGCCUGUGGCCACAGGGCAGGCGAGCCGGGGCCCCAGGCAGGUCGCUCACCCCCGCUCACCCCUGGCAGAAAGAGCACAAGUGUUUCCAAUGCACCUGCUGGGACUGGGGUUUUGUCAUUGAGGUGAAAUUCUCAUAAUAAACUUACCCAUUUGUGGAGCUCUGUGGUGGCC
ensembl:lncRNA